rnacentral:lncRNA from 1 species
AUGAUGAGUACUGAUCUGUCCGAUUCUCUCCUCACCCUCCUCCUCCUCACUCUCCUCCUCCUCCUCCUCACUGUUCUCCUCCUCCUCACUCUCCUCCUCCUCCUCACUCUCCUCCUGCUCCACCUCCUCCUCACUCUCCUCCUCCUUCUCCCCCUCACUCUCCUCCUCCUUCUCCCCCUCACUCUCCUCUUCCUCCUCCUCCUCACUCUCCUCCUCCUCUUCCUCCCUCUCCUCCUCCUCCCUCUCCUCCUCCUCACUCUCCUCCUCCUCCUCCUCCUCCUCCUCACUAUUCUCCUCCUCCUCCUCACUCUCCUCCUCCUCCUCACUCUCCUCUUCCUCACUCUCCUUCUCCUCUUCCUCACUCUCCUUCUCCUCUUCCUCACUCUCCUCCUCACUGUCCUCCUCCUCUUCCUCUUCCUCAUCCUCUUCCUCACUCUCCUCCUCACUGUCCUCCUCCUCUUCCUCUUCCUCAUCCCCUUCACUCUCCUCCUCCUCCUCCUCAUCACUCUCCUCCUCCUCUUCCUCAUUCUCCUCUUCCUCCUCCUCACUCUCCUCCUCCUCUUCCUCCUCUUCCUCUUCCUCCCCACUCUCCCAUACCGCCUCCUCUUCCUCAUUCUCCUCCUCCUCUUCCUCACUCUCCUCCUCACUCUCCUGCUCUCUUCCUCACUCUCUUCCUCCUUCUCCUCCCUCUCCUCUUCCUCCUCAUCCUCUCCUCUUCCUCACUCUUCAUCCUCUUCCUCCUCCUCCUCACUCUCCUUCUCCUACUCCUCACUCUCCUCCUUCUACUCCUCCUCCUCCUCCUCUCUCUCCUCUCCCUCUUCCUCACUCUCACUCUCCUCCUUCUCCUCCUCCUCACUCACCUCUUUCUCCUCUUCCGCCUCCUCCUUCUCCUCACUCUCCUGCUCUCUUCCUUACUCUCUUCCUCCUCCUCCUUCUCCUCCUCCUCCUCCUCCUCACGCUCCUCCUCCUCCUCUUCCUUACUCUCCUCCACCUCCUCUUCCUCCACUUCUUCUUCCUCCUACUCCUCAUUCUCCUCCUCCUCUUCCUCACUCUCCUUCUCCUUUUCCUCACUCACCUCUUUCUCCUCUUCCUCACUCUCCUCCUCCUUCUCCUUCUCCUCACUCACCUCUUUCUCCUCUUCCUCCUCCUCCUCUCUGUCAGAUCAACAUGAAGACCAUGCCUGCAGUGAUGUUCAGACUGUUAACAGGACAGGAGACUCCUGUUUACAUCUAG